GACGAACGCUGGCGGCGUGCCUAAUACAUGCAAGUAGAACGCUGAAGAGAGGAGCUUGCUCUUCUUGGAUGAGUUGCGAACGGGUGAGUAACGCGUAGGUAACCUGCCUGGUAGCGGGGGAUAACUAUUGGAAACGAUAGCUAAUACCGCAUAAAAUUGAUUAUUGCAUGAUAAUUAAUUGAAAGAUGCAACUGCAUCACUACCAGAUGGACCUGCGUUGUAUUAGCUAGUUGGUGAGGUAACGGCUCACCAAGGCGACGAUACAUAGCCGACCUGAGAGGGUGAUCGGCCACACUGGGACUGAGACACGGUCCAGACUCCUACGGGAGGCAGCAGUAGGGAAUCUUCGGCAAUGGGGGGAACCCUGACCGAGCAACGCCGCGUGAGUGAAGAAGGUUUUCGGAUCGUAAAGCUCUGUUGUAAGAGAAGAACGGGUGUGAGAGUGGAAAGUUCACACUGUGACGGUACCUUACCAGAAAGGGACGGCUAACUACGUG
rnacentral:rRNA from 1 species